CAGCCGCCGCGGUAAUACGAAGGGGGCUAGCGUUGCUCGGAAUGACUGGGCGUAAAGGGCGCGUAGGCGGCGAUCAAAGUCAGGCGUGAAAUUCCUGGGCUCAACCUGGGAAUGGCAGUGGAUACUGGCUCGCUAGAGUGUGUCAGAGGAUGGUGGAAUUCCCGGUGUAGCGGUGAAAUGCGUAGAGAUCGGGAGGAACAUCAGUGGCGAAGGCGGCCAUCUGGGACAACACUGACGCUGAGGCACGAAAGCGUGGGGAGCAAACAGGAUUAGAUACCCCGGUAGUCCCUGUCUCUUAUAC
rnacentral:rRNA from 1 species